AAGUCGUAACAAGGUAACCGUAGGUGAACCUGCGGUUGGAUCAUUAGAAAUAUUUUAAGUGUGAUGAAUUUAGCCCUAAAUAGGCUAGGGUCAAGGCCUUCGGCCUUGAGCCUAGCGUAAUAUGGGGAGUUCGUCAGCUUAUUUCACAACUUGUGCACUGUAAUUGUUUUUGGGCGGUUAAUUAAACCGAAUCGCCCGCCAGUUUAACCAAACUUCUAAAUUUUUGACUGAGUUUAUUUUUAAAUUAUAAACAACUUUAGACAACGGAUCUCUUGGCUCUC
rnacentral:misc_RNA from 1 species